UGAUGCCACUUGAAAAAAUGGUAAUUUCUCCUACAAAUAAUCAUCCAAUUAAACACUAAAAAAUUUUCACACUGGAUUUUUGUAAUAUUCCUCCUCGCAACAGCCUCGUUCUUCCUAAAAAUAAAGGCUUUGAUCAAAUUGAGAGAUGUAGCUGCACUAGUCUAAUAUUUUUGCAAGCAUAAGUAUUUCUAAAUGUUUUGAUCAUCGUUUUAUGCUUCUCAUUCAUCCAUGGCACAGCUUCAUCAGCUUACUUCCAACGAUUACCAAAUAUUAUGGGACUUGAAUCUGACAAAAACUUUUGAAAGCUCUAUCAGCUGGUAUUGAUAAUAUUUCCAAGUAGAUUCUGUAGAAGGUGUACAAUUUACCUGUAGAUGACUCUUUAGAUGAUACAAGGUAAGUCCUGGAAUCCCCAUAAGUUUCAUAACUGCUUUUGGAGUAGCUUCUGCAAGGAAAAAGAACAAUGGUUGAAUAUGCGGAACUUACUAUUAUUUACUUUAAUUUAGGAUUUUUAAGUUUUUCUAGUAUACUCACUGUCCGCUCCUCCAAGCUGAUUGACUGCUUCUAUGAACCGUUCGUGGAGAUCUGGUGUCCAUUUUAGUCGAGGCUUUGCAUCAGUUGAGAGGACAAGUCCAGAAUCUCCAGGACCAUUCCCACCUUGCAGGAAUAAAUGCCUAUCGGGGGGGAUUGGCAUUCUCGCAGAGGAGUGGAUGCUCUUUCCUUGGUGUUGAUGAUGAUGAUACAUCUCUAUCUAUUAAAAUCCCAAUUCAAGUUUAACUUGAAAUGGAAGCAGUAAAAGUGUAACUAUUGUUGUUAAGAUCAGUGGUGUUUUUACCUGAUGCCUUGUUUUUUUUUUUUUUUUUUGUGCUCUCUUGAUCCAAUCUUUUACUCCCUAAAAUGUUGAACUUGAUCAUGCAAUGUUCUUCAGGGAAAAUUCGAUGUCCUAAUACUUCUAAGCAAAAUUUUCUCAACUUCCCUUGCCUAUUUCUUCUCUCCUUUGUUUGAUGCUCACAAACCAAAGAUCUGAAGGUGGCUUUUUAUAAAGCCAACUGGGGCAAGGAAGGUCGGUGAGGCACAGAAUCUUGGAUGGGGUUGAUGGAAAACCUGACCCAAUCCGACCCAAUCCAAUAUUCACAGUGACUUGAAAAGAGAGAUUGCUUCUUACUUUGUUUAGCUGUGGGGCCUCUCUUCUAACUCCAAUUUCUAUUGGCAGAUGGGUUGUUUUAACUGGUUAUAUUUGGAGGAUUUAGAAGAAGAUUCUGUUGACUGGUGCACCUGGAAACUUUGGAAUAAGAUACAAAACAAGAAAAGGGAAAAAAAAAAAGGUUGAAAGAUGCUUGUCCUUGGACAUUGUUUGAAGGCAACGAAUGGAAUAAGGAAUACAUUCUCUUUUGUCUCCUUCAGUAAGUUUGGUACUUAUUCAGCCCACAUAGUAUAAAAUAGAAUGGGCCCAAUUCUUUUUCAUCAUCAAUUGGAAUAAGACAGCCAGCUCUGCACCGACGAAACCUAAGCAUCUGGGACCCAAUGAAAAGAAAAGAGAAGGAUUGUACUUGCUUCCAUACUUACAUUUGAUUAAGGAAAAGACAAUUCUUGCCCUGGAAAUGACUACCUGCCCACGACUCCUGCCUCCAUUGGCCAGAUUCUCUUGUAUGAAUCUAUACACUCAUAUUUCGCUACUUGAUUAUUGUUUUAUGUUAUUUUGAUUCUUUUUUUUUUAAUUUUUUUUAAUCAAGACUUCUUAAGCAUUGCUAUAUUUAUAACUUCUCAUUGAAUGACUGUAUGAACAGAUGAGCUCAUUAUUGUUGUUUUCUAUAAUUUUGCAUGGAUUUGCUCAGAAGAUAUGUAGAAUAUAUGCACCAUAGGCACCAUAUAAUUUUGCAUGGCUUUGCAGGGAAGAUAUGUGGAAUAUAAUGCAUCAUGCAGAUAUGCGAACACACAUAGAGUCUCACAUUGACUUGUACAUCUGAAUAUUUUUUAAUGAAUACACAUUCGAAUU